CUGGCGUGGCGAGCGAGGGCCGCUCGUCUCCGGGCGAGGGAACUUCCAGCCAAUGGGAGCGCGGCACGGGAGCGCCUGCCGGACGCCGGACAAAAGUGGCCUCCCGCCCGCGGGGCUUUGGCAUCUCUCCUGGGCACCGCAGGAGCGACUUGGUCUUUAAGUAUGGGAUGGAUUCCUGGUCACAUCACUAGCCCUCCGUAUCUACUUCCUAUAAUUAAGAAGUUUGCAAACAGCAGCUCUGAAAGGAUGGGUUUAUGUAGUGAUUCAACAGUUUAGAGCUUUUCUUUUUGCUGAAUUUGGAAAUGCCUACUAAGGCUUGCCCUCCGUAAACUUAGACCAUGUGCCUAUUACACUGAGGUACCUGAAAAACUUGGAAAGCAAGACUUGCUGGAUGGCCUGAAUCAGAGAUAGGAUCAGAGAAUGACCACUGGAGUGAUUAAGAGGAUGAUGAAGUUGUCAUGCGGCACUUUCAUCACAUUUCAGGAUCAGGAGACUUUUUACAAAAGCCGUGUAAGGGACCCUGAGAAGGAACCCAAAGAAACACUGGAUUAUGGCACACGGUGGCUGGCCCAUAAUAAGGCCCUUUUUGUUAGCUGAGCCUUAUUCCUCCACCAAAUCCUGAGAGAGGCCUACCCACACAUUACGAGUAUAAAGAGAAUUUGAGCUAGGCAUCUUUUGCCUACACCGAUUUUUCUCUCCUCUGUGGAAGGCACCUGGGGACCCUGCAGCAAGUUCAACCUCAGUACUUGGUCCUGAACAUUCAUCUUUGUCUUCCCAGAAUAUGCAACCUGAAUGUGAAUAUUAAGGGGACCAGUUAAAGUGGAAACCCUACACAGUGAAAGCCACAUAUACAAUGAAACAGGAACCAAGCUGCUGCGAAAAAUGAGGAACUCUACAUAUUGACAUGGAAAAAUCACGAGGAAAAUCAGUAUGCUACCUUCUAUGUAAGGGAUUUAAAAAAAAAAGAGGGUAUAUAGUUCUAUUUGCUUUUUGUAUUUUGCAUAAAGAAAACACUGAAAAGAUCCGUAAGAACCUGUUAACAGGUAAGGCCAGGAUGGUGGUGGAGAGGUGGUUACUCAGUUAUGGGUGGGAUUAAGCGUUCAAGUCUUUUUAUGUAUUUUCAAUUUUUGAAUCAUGUGACUCACCUACUAAAAAUCAACUUAUUCAAAAAAUGAUAGGAACUUAGGAAAAACAUGGUGAGCUUCCUUUCCCACCUCUUCUAACUACUAAACCAUUAAAUCAAAUACAGCAGCUAUCCAUCAAAAACUGGUAUUCAUCAUCUAUGUGCCAUGCCCCAGCUCUCAGGUUCUUAAUGUUUCCAAAGAAAGCAGGAAUUACAUAAAGUCUUAACCCUUCUUUGAAGGGGCAGAGCUAGUGCUUUCAUAAAUUAGGUAGUAAUACUACUAAUGAUCAAUAAUAGCAAUUACCUUCCUUAUAGAAUGAUACAAAUAGUAAAAGGAGUUACCUAAUUUAUAUGUGUAACAAUAGAUAGAAUGUGGACUCUCUUAAAAUGUGGAAACAAGAUAGCACAUUGUGUGAAACAGACUUUACAAAACUGAGGAGAGGCCAAAGCUGUAGAUUACAUAGAAGCUGCAUGGAGGAGAUACUGUAAUUAGCAAUCCGUUAAUGUUCUACUUCCCAUGUUCAAAAGGGAACACAUUGGUUUUGCUGGGUUUCCCCCUCAUUACUUUGAAAGGAAGUAUUUUUUAAUUGCUCCUGGUUUCUUCAGGCUCCAGAUGAAUUAUAGUAGGACCCCGCAACACAGCAGUUAUAAAGUGUUAAACAUAAGCUCUGAAUCAUGUGCCCCAAACAGGUAGAAGGUAUGUAUUUUUCCAUACUGUAUAGCAGAGCAUACAUUUUUCUGGAGUCUGGGAAAAAUACUUUAAAAUUUUUAUAUGGCUUUCAAAAUAUAAGCUUGUAUUUAAAGGAUUUCCUUCAAAUAAACAUGAUUGUAUCAUUCUGUAAAAUGUAUAUGAUCUCCAGCCAAUUAUGUUACAAUUGAAGGGAUAAAAUAUUUCUGAUUUGGGAUUAUCUUCAAGGAGAAGGAACAUGCAACAUUAACAUAUUCACUAGGACAAGUGGGCAUUUUCAUCUCCCUUUGAUUUUUGUUUCACCUCUAGGCUGCUAGAGUCAUAGCCUGUUGGUGAGAGAAAUUAUAUUUGAAAUCUUCUACUCUUCAUUUUACAGAUGGGAAAGCUAGAGCCAGAGGGGGUUCAGCAACUCACCCAUCCCACAAUGAGUUAACAGCAAAGAAAAGAACCCACUCUCAAAAUGCCAAUCCAGCACUCUUGAUAGACCAAGCUACAUUCACAUUUUAAGCUAACAAUCCUUUCCCUCCCAUAUCCUUUCCUCCUAUAAAUGUGAGACUGCAAGGCCCAGCAAACUGAAGCUGAAGUAUCUUUCUCUCUUCUUGGUUCCUGCUAGUAAAAAGGAAAUCUGCAUUACCUAAGUCACCCUCUGCCUUAGGAUUUUAAAAUCACCUUACUGAAGAGGGGGCUUGCUAAGGAAAUGGAACACUGUCUGACUACUUGCUGCUAUUGCUUAGAUUAAGAAUUUCUCCUUGCAAUCCAUCUAGCAGGGCAACUAUCUACUUCAGUUUCCUUAAAAGCAAGAGGCAACAAUUACAAAAGUAACCCAUUUUUAUUAAUAACUGAAUGUUAAACAGCAGUUGUGUAGAGGCUAUUCACUAAUCAACAGGAAACACCUGCAGUGGGCUCACCCACUGGCAGAACUGCAAACUUAAGUGAAGUCGGCAAGGCUAGUUUGUUUUACUGUCUUCCUUUU